rnacentral:tRNA from 1 species
GCUUUUAUAGUUUAAAUGAAAAUGCGAGCUUUGUAAGUUCUUGAUUGGGUUGUCAUAAGAGCA